rnacentral:rRNA from 1 species
UAGGGAAUCUUCCGCAAUGGACGAAAGUCUGACGGAGCAACGCCGCGUGAGUGAAGAAGGAUUUCGGUUCGUAAAACUCUGUUGUUAGGGAAGAAAAAAUGUAUAGUAACUAUAUACAAAAGAGACGGUACCUAACCAGAAAGCCACGGCUAACUACGUGCCAGCAGCCGCGGUAAUACGUAGGUGGCAAGCGUUGUCCGGAAUUAUUGGGCGUAAAGCGCGCGCAGGUGGUUUAGAAAGUCUGAUGUGAAAGCCCACGGCUCAACCGUGGAGGGUCAUUGGAAACUAAUAAACUUGAGUGCAGGAGAGAAAAGUGGAAUUCCUAGUGUAGCGAUGAAAUGCGUAGAGAUUAGGAGGAACACCGGUGGCGAAAGCGGCUUUUUGGACUGAAACUGACACUGAGGCGCGAAAGCGUGGGGAGCAAACAGG